rnacentral:rRNA from 1 species
AGUGAACGCUGGCGGUAGGCCUAACACAUGCAAGUCGAACGGCAGCACAGUAAGAGCUUGCUCUUACGGGUGGCGAGUGGCGGACGGGUGAGGAAUGCAUCGGAAUCUACUUUUUCGUGGGGGAUAACGUAGGGAAACUUACGCUAAUACCGCAUACGACCUACGGGUGAAAGCAGGGGAUCUUCGGACCUUGCGCGAUUGAAUGAGCCGAUGUCGGAUUAGCUAGUUGGCGGGGUAAAGGCCCACCAAGGCGACGAUCCGUAGCUGGUCUGAGAGGAUGAUCAGCCACACUGGAACUGAGACACGGUCCAGACUCCUACGGGAGGCAGCAGUGGGGAAUAUUGGACAAUGGGCGCAAGCCUGAUCCAGCCAUACCGCGUGGGUGAAGAAGGCCUUCGGGUUGUAAAGCCCUUUUGUUGGGAAAGAAAAGCAGCAUGUUAAUACCCCGCUGUUCUGACGGUACCCAAAGAAUAAGCACCGGCUAACUUCGUG